GGCAGCAGGCGCGCAAAUUACCCACUCCCAGCACGGGGAGGUAGUGACGAAAAAUAACGAUACGGGACUCAUCCGAGGCCCCGUAAUCGGAAUGAGUACACUUUAAAACUUUUCCCGAGGAUCAAUUGGAGGGUAAGUCUGGUGCCAGCAGCCGCGGUAAUUCCAGCUCCAAUAGCGUAUAUUAAAGUUGUUGCGGUUAAAAAGCUCGUAGUCGAAUCUGUGUCCCGCGCCGCUGGUUCAUCGCUCGCGGUGUUUAACUGGCGUGUUUCGCGGGACGUCCUGUCGGUGGGCGCUCGUUAGGCUUCGGUCUGGCGUGGUCCAACUUGUAGCCGUCUUGUGCGGUUGCAAAUCUCAUCGCGGUGCUCUUUAUUGAGUGUCGAGGUGGGCCGGCACGUUUACUUUGAACAAAUUAGAGUGCUUAAAGCAGGCCAAUUUUGCCUGAAUAUUGUGUGCAUGGAAUAAUGGAAUAGGACCUCGGUUCUAUUUUGUUGGUUUUCGGAACCCCGAGGUAAUGAUUAAUAGGAACGGAUGGGGGCAUUCGUAUUGCGACGUUAGAGGUGAAAUUCUUGGAUCGUCGCAAGACGGACAGAAGCGAAAGCAUUUGCCAAAAACGUUUUCAUUGAUCAAGAACGAAAGUUAGAGGUUCGAAGGCGAUCAGAUACCGCCCUAGUUCUAACCAUAAACGAUGCCAGCUAGCGAUCCGCCGACGUUACUUUUUUUGACUCGGCGGGCAGCUUCCGGGAAACCAAAGCUUUUGGGUUCCGGGGGAAGUAUGGUUGCAAAGCUGAAACUUAAAGGAAUUGACGGAAGGGCACCACCAGGAGUGGAGCCUGCGGCUUAAUUUGACUCAACACGGGACACCUCACCAGGCCCGGACACCGGAAGGAUUGACAGAUUGAUAGCUCUUUCUUGAUUCGGUGGGUGGUGGUGCAUGGCCGUU
rnacentral:rRNA from 1 species